rnacentral:rRNA from 1 species
AGCGGGGGUAAAACCCCGUGGAGGACCGAACCACGUUGCUGUUGAAAAAGCAUGGGAUGAGCUGUGGAUAGCGGAGAAAUUCCAAUCGAACUCGGAGAUAGCUGGUUCUCCUCGAAAUAGCUUUAGGGCUAGCGUCGGAUAUGAGUAGUGGAGGUAGAGCACUGAAUGGGCUAGGGGGCAUAGCGCUUACCGAACCUUAUCAAACUCCGAAUGCCACAUACUAUUAGUCCGGCAGUCAGACUGCGAAAGAUAAGUUCCGUAGUCAAAAGGGAAACAGCCCAGAUCGUCAGCUAAGGUCCCAAAGUGUAAGUUAAGUGGAAAAGGAUGUGGGAUUUCUAAGACAACUAGGAUGUUGGCUUAGAAGCAGCCACUCAUUAAAAGAGUGCGUAAUAGCUCACUAGUCGAGAGAUCCUGCGCCGAAGAUGUCCGGGGCUCAAACUUACCACCGAAGCUACGGGUUCACACUUAUGUGUGAGCGGUAGAGGAGCGUCGUAAUCGGGCUGAAGUCGUACCGUAAGGAGCGGUGGACUGAUUACGAGUGAGAAUGUUGGCAUUAGUAGCGAGAUGUGGGUGAGAAUCCCACAGGCCGAAUAUCUAAGGUUUCCUCAGGAAGGUUCGUCCGCUGAGGGUUAGUCGGGACCUAAGCCGAGGCCGAAAGGCGUAGGCGAUGGACAAUCGGUUGAUAUUCCGAUACCACUACUGAUCGUUAUUAUCGAUGGUGUGACGGAGAAGGAUAGAGUGUGCUAGCUAUUGGAUGCUAGUCUAAGCGUUUAGGGAGUUAGGAAAGGCAAAUCCGUCCUAACAAUUCUGAGGCGUGAUGGGGAAGGUUCUACGGAACCGAAGUACUUGAUUCCAUGCUUCCAAGAAAAGCAUCUAGAGAGAGAUGUAGUGCCCGUACCGCAAACCGACACAGGUAGAUGAGGAGAGAAUCCUAAGGCCGGCGGAAGAAUCACAGUUAAGGAACUAGGCAAAUUGACCCCGUAACUUAGGGAGAAGGGGUGCCUGUGAGAGCAGGCCGCAGAGAAUAGGCCCAAGCAACUGUUUAGCAAAAACACAGGUCUCUGCUAAAGCGAAAGCUGAUGUAUAGGGGCUGACGCCUGCCCGGUGCUGGAAGGUUAAGGGGAACACUUAGCGCAAGCGAAGGUGUGAACUUAAGCCCCAGUAAACGGCGG